UCUUUACUUUGUCUAUGAUGCUGAUUUAAUUCUUGAAUUUAUUUGAGCAGGAUGCACUCUGGAUAAAGAAAAUGUAUAGUGCUAUUGUAACAUUUUCUUCCUUUUACUUUUAUAUAGAGUCUACUUUUUCAAGUUAUUCGGGAACAAAAACAAAGAAAUCUUGGACAAACAGAUUUCUAAAAAAUGUGAGGACAUGAUGAAGACUGGCAUUGAACAAAAUACAAAUACCUGGGCUAGAGAUGGGCUUUGGGGUCAAGUUUGUACCGGACUUGGCAUUCCAAACACAAAAAUCCAUCGAAUAAGACUUCAAGUAGCACAUCAAUCAUUUAAAAAGCACACAUCUCCAUCAUCUCCAUCGCCACAGGCUAGUGGAACAGAUGAGCCUGGAGAACAGUAUUCUGAGCACACAUCACCAGGGUCCCUAUCGCCACAGGCGGAGCAGAUGAACCUGGACAAGAGUAUUCUGAGGUAUUAAGUCAAUGCUGUGUACGCUCUCAUCAAAUUUUGGGGGGCACACAGCUUUACCAUAAUACAGCUAAAGUCACUGUGGAAGAGAUAGAGCACAGAAGCUGUGGUUGCUGUGAUCCCGGCCCUCACACAUCCAGGUCACAGUUUUCUAAUUCAUCACAGCGAACUGUGCUCGCUGAGGCCUCACAGAUGGCUGACAGGCGAGGUAAUGGAGGGCCUCUUCCAUCUAAAUGCCAACCAAUGCCAACGUGGGCAGAGUAUUUACCUGCUAAACCAUUACACGGCAGGUGUAAUACUCUUUGGCGAAAGAGACCAAAUGAGACAACACAGCUUGCCAAGGACUGACUUCAGCUUGUACCAAGCAAUACUCUCAUUUGUGAAUGUUGGAGGAGUACACUGGAAACUACUGUACAUAAUUCCUGCCACAUGCUCGGUCUUUUUGGUGGAUCCAAUGGAGAACAAAGCCGAGGAAGCGGAGUCCAAAAAUGCUGCAAAAAGAAUAGGUGAAUUCCUGAAGAUGAGAAAGAUCUGCCACGCAAAGAAUGACUGGGGGAGUAUAAAGUGGAGAGGAGCCACCAUGCCCCAUCCUCUUCAACAGGACAGCAGUAGUUGUGGGGUCAUCGUCACCAUGAUGGCGAAGGCAGUGAUGGAGGCAUUUCCAGCAUUGCCACUCAUGUCCUUUGGGACAUCCAAGAAGGAGAUGGCUAAUGCGAGGACUAAGUUUGGACUUGGAUUACUCAGUGGUUCAGUGUUUGACAUGGACAACCACUGUGCAAUGUGCUCUGCCUCGAUGCCCAGGAUCAGGGCCUUCAACUACUGAUUGGAUAAUGUGUGACACAUGCCAGAGGUGGUACCAUGAGCAGUGUCUGGGGAUGAGUAAAGACCAACUCCUACAAGCAAGGGCAAGCAAGUGGGAUUGUGUCCUUUGCAAUUAGGACAUUUUAUCUUGUGGAGACAUGUACAAAAAGAAAAAGUACCAAGUUCAUUGAAUAAAAAACUAUUACAGUA